UGCCCUUUGCCAGCAGCCGCGGUAAUACGUAGGUGGCAAGCGUUGUCCGGAAUUAUUGGGCGUAAAGCGCGCGCAGGUGGUUUAAUAAGUCUGAUGUGAAAGCCCACGGCUCAACCGUGGAGGGUCAUUGGAAACUGUUAAACUUGAGUGCAGGAGAGAAAAGUGGAAUUCCUAGUGUAGCGGUGAAAUGCGUAGAGAUUAGGAGGAACACCAGUGGCGAAGGCGGCUUUUUGGCCUGUAACUGACACUGAGGCGCGAAAGCGUGGGGAGCAAACAGGAUUAGAUACCCUGGUAGUCCAAGGGC
rnacentral:rRNA from 1 species